UAAGGAGGUUUAUGUAACAGAAUCCUAAAGAGUAUAUGCACAUACAUUGUUUUUUAAAGUGAAAGAAGUAAGUGAAUGAUUGUAAAUGCAUGAAGCAUUGAUUUCAAAACCUCAUGAAUGUAUCUUUAUAAACUUAAAAUGAUAGUAUGGAUAAAAUAGUUAGAUUGAGUGUUGUACAACUCAUGAGAUAUUAUGAUAAAGAGCAAUACGAGUUUGAUAAUAUUAUCCAUCUUUAUCAAAAGUCCUUUCCUAAAAGUUCAAUAUAAUCGCAGUUUACAAUGAUGAUGUCUAGGAACCAUCGAGAGAAACUGUCGAGCUUUUAGAAGGAGAAUUUUUUAAUGACCUUGACACAUUGUAAUUAUUGCUCGACACGUAGUUUGAGUAUAUGUGUACAAUCAAACUAUAUCUAUUAGAGGUUGAUGUGUUUUACCAUGGAAAAAGUUUAUCCUUUAACUACGUUAAAGGUUGUUCAAUUACUUGAUAUAUAAAAUGGCUGUUAUAGCUUCAUAUGAAAGAAAUUGAAUUUUUUGGUCUAGAGCAUGUGUUAAACGACGAAAUAUUGAAAUGGGAAAACAUCUAUUUCAAUACAUCUAAGGUAUGUAAGAUAUGAAUUUGUAUUUUACUAACCUGUCAAAACAGGUUUGGUUAGUUUUGUAAAUACAGGGAAUAUAACAAAUCACAGUCGUGGAUCUUAUGAUAUUUAUGUAAAAGAAGAGGCACUAGAAGGCACAUAUGAAUAUAUAAAACAUUGCGAACAUAAAGAAUUGCACAUUAAGGGAUCAAGCGGCAAAUCAUUGACUACAAAAACUUUGAGCAACUUUCAAGAAAAAUGGGCACUAGUCACUUGAAGAAUACAUGUUCAAAUGAGGGGGAGUAUUAUACAAGUUGCACUCUUUUUCCCUUCACUAAGUUUUAUCCCAUUGGGUUUUCUUAGUAAGGUUUUUUAAUGAGGCAACGUACAUGAUCCAGAAGUAUCAGGGGGAGACGAUACGCGCUGCACUCUUUUUCACUUAGCUAAGGUUUUGUCCCACUGGGUUUUCCAGGCAAGGUUUUUAACGAGGCAGCAUCUCCAAGCGUAUUAAGUUGAUAACCAAGAGGGAGUGUUAUAAAUAUAUUAUUAAUAUUAUGGUUAUCAACACCAAAUCUAGAUCUACUAAUAUAUAUUUUCAUCCAUUUUAUAUAGUACCAUAACUUAUACUAAUAUAUGCCUUUAUCUGAUUCUAAAUCUUUUGUUCAUUCAAAAUUAAAACUAUAUGGAUGUGACGCACACGCCAAUGUUAUUUAUUAGCAUGCAUAGGUGAUGAUAUUCAAAUGCGUAUACAAAUAGAAUUGUAUCUCCACUAUAAUAAAACAACCUCUCUCAUUCACCUUUAUAUUUUAUAGAAGUAAAUAGAUUGUACAAUAGUAACUAGUAAGGCUCUUGGAACCACAUGUGAUGGUCUUCUAUAUAUUCUUUCUAGUGUUGCUAGUGUGUCAUUCGUGUAACCGUCACAUGCGCGAAGCUUUUAAGGGGCGGGAGGGGGUGACCGACUCCCCGAAUUUUUCGCUUAGUAGUGGAGAGUAUGUAAUUUUCGUAUAGAAAUUUUUGGUUAUAUACGUUUUCGACCUCGGGUUUAUAGAAAUUUUUAGGUCAUGUGAUUUCUGUCUCCGGUCAGAUAUUUCAAGCUUCGCCACAAUCGUGUUUAUAGGUGGAAACCACGAACAUUGUGACAUAAGAGCCUAUGGGACUUCACUUUAUUAAUAUAACAUUUGUGGGGUGGGGGAGGGGAUAGUGCACGGUUCUCUCAACCGCCGGAGUGAUCCCACUCCGGGAGCCGCUACCCGACCAAGCUAGCUCCGCGGUGAAUUCCCCUUGCCAAGUUCUUACCCUGGGCGACAUAUGUCACUCCCAAGAUUCGAACCCGGUACCUCUGGAAAGAGGUGGGUGUCGGUAACCAACUGGGCUACCCCAGUUUUUGGGAACACUUAAUAGGCAAUAUUCCUAGCAUCAUGGACAAGCAGGAACCUUGGUCGUCGAUUUUACUCUUGUCCUGACCUGGUAACUUGGGCCAAAAUUGUGGAUUUAUUAGUUGGUUCGAUCAGGAAAUGUGUCUGGACAUCAUACCUGGUUUGCUUAGGGGUAAGAACAACUUAGAAGAAGCUAAUGUCAAUCUAGAAUAAGCAAACAAUUUUCUUGAAGGAAAACUGAAAGAAAGUGAAGUAAAAUCAAGCAAUUUGAAGAAGUGCUUGGUUUUUAGUUGGACUGGUUUUAUCUUGUAUGUAUUGUUGUUUUAGGCUAACAGAUAUGUAAUGCAUGUAACAUGAUGUAAUGGAGGUUAUGGUCAUGAUGUACAAUCCAAAUAUUAAUGUUAUUCAAGUUAUGUAAUGCAUGUAACAUGAUGUAAUGUAGGUUAUUAGGGUGUUUUUGUAAUGGAGGUUAUGGUCAUGAUGUAUAAUCCAACUAUUAAUGCUAUGCAACUGUUACUGCGUUUAAGCAUUAUGUACAAUUGUUUAUGCAUCAUGCUAUUUAAGUAUUAUGUGCAAAUUCAAACUGAUGCAUAAAUACAACCUGAUCAAAAAGACCAUAACUGAUAACAAAAGAUCAUAACAAAAAACAACAAGCCAAAUGACCAAACUGAUGCACGAAAAAACAGCAAACAACUAUGACCAAACUGAU
rnacentral:lncRNA from 1 species